GUCAUCGGCUAAGGCAAGCGGAAAGGACUGAUGCGCAGACCCGUGGACAUGUUUCAUCUAAAAUCAUGAACCUAGUGGAGUGAUGGCUUCUCAUUUGACUAUAGCAACUAACAAAAAAAAAAACAUAUCAUGAUAUCGUUUCUUGCGACAUGGUAAACGACGUGAUAAAAAUAAAAUCAAUUUGUAAUAGAUCGUGAUAAGUCCGAGGCUUAUGAAUUAUCUAGGUUCAAAUACUAAUUUUAUUUUCAAUCAGUAAAGAACAAAGAUCCAAUGUUCCCCGCCAUGCACAUUAUAUGUCAUAAUUUAUCUAUCAAAGGGCAAGGAACAAGGCAUAACUCAAAAAGCACUUUUUUCUUUUUCUUUUUUCUUUUCAAUAUCUUAAGAGAAAUAAAAGCUUCCGGCACAGCAAAUGAAAUGUGAUUUCCAUUACAAUUUAUAUUUCAAAGGGUCAUAACUGGUUAGCAAUAUUUGAUUACGACUUAUUUUCCAAAUUGUCAAAGACAUUGCCUAUGAUAUGAGUUUCACUUAAUCUAAGAUUGUACACAUGAGAGUGCUAACAAGACCAGACGAUCGGACGCCCGGUAUUUUAUGUCUCCUGCAACGCGUGUAGCUCAGUAAUCAAAAAUCAAAAACCCAAGGUUGUAGACUCAAAUUCCUGGAAAGAGAAGUCACUUCAGUUACUAUAUUCCGAAGUUCCUGAAUUAUACAGAAGUGCCGCUGUAAUGGGGUCCGUUUUUGAUAUGUCAAAUAUGAGAUUGGGUGGGAAACUUUACAUCAAAUAUUUAUGAAUUGAAUGAUGGUAGUUUCGAGGAAACAAUAAAAUUUGGUUAAAAAUAUAAAUAUAUGAAUAGGUGGGUAUUUUGAAUUUAAACAAAAAUAUAACUACUGUCGGAUUCUGGGGGAGUACAUGUGCUUAAAUAAAAAAUAUUUUUCUGCAUAAAAAGGUCCAAAAUGUUUUUCGCCUCGCUCCGCUCGGCGAAACAUCCACAUCAUUUCAACCCUGGCUACGCCACUG
rnacentral:lncRNA from 1 species